GACCUCAUGAGAGAGGAAGAGAAGAGCCUGCUCACUCUGGAGGUUCAAAAAGAUGAAUGAGGGAAAAUCACCCCAAACAAUGUGAAGUUCAAUGCUCUUAUGAUUAUUUAGGAAAGCUAUUACAGUAUGCUUUAAAUAUGCACUGUUCAUUGUAUGCACAUCUCAAAGCAUUUGAACUGUAAGAGGUGAGCUAUUGUAAGUCCCCUGACCUUUGGAGUUUAUCUAUCUGGUCUCAUCUCUUUUCAGAAACAGGGUGAAAGGAGCUAUAUCUGAAGGCUGAGACUCCUGGUGAUGGGUUGGAGGUCAAACAGCCAGCUGGUGGCUGGGCCGCCGAUUCCAGCCCCUGUGAAGUUUCCACAAAUAUUUAUGAGCCUUUCGAUGGCCGGAUGGUGGGGAAAAUGUUGAGAAAAGUUACAGGGAGUGUUUGCAUUUAGAAUUUGCCAGCAACUCGCUGUGUAACUGAGGUGGCUUCUCUUUGGGCCUCCGUUUCCUCAUCUGUAAUAUGGGGCCAGAAAAAGCAGCCUCCAAGACCUCUUUUUGCUCCAAGAACACAGUGAAGAUUUGUGAAUAGUUUUUCUAAUUUCUAAAGCAAUGUAGGGACUUCCCUGGAGGUCCAGUGGUUGGGACUCUGCACGUCCACUGCAGGGGGCAUGGGAUCAACCCCUGGUGGGGGAAUGAAGAUUUCAUAUGUUUUGUAGCUCUGCCAAAAAAAUAAAAAUAGCAAUAUCUCAAUUUAAAAAAGAGGCAGUGUAGCCUCUCCUCACCUAAGUAUUAUUAAAAAAAAAAAAAAAAACCCAUCUGUUUCUAAGUGGCACUUUUUCCCCAAAAUGUAACUUUGAUUCUGCUCUGUCUGAAAUCAGCUUCCUACCUCUUAUGUAGGACCUCAAAGUUAUGAAAUUUCUAAUUCCAAUGUCUUGGCUAUUCAGGUGUUAGAGAAUUAUACAAUAUUUCUAUGACUCAAAUCAGGCUUUUGGCUUUAAGACUAAAAGAUCUGAGUAUCUGGGUUUUUUUUUUUUUUUUUUUUUUAAAGAAAAAUGACGGAUAUCAGCCCUUAGAAAAAUCAGCUCACUUGGAGACCUCCAUGGCGUUAUUGCCUCCUUUAAUAUUGCUGACAGUCUCUUGCAAAUGUAUCACAAGUUGGCAUUUAUUAGUGCGAGGCACAAGUAAGGGGCAUGUUAUUUGAUUUGAAUAACAGCUUGGAGCUACAGUUUGAGUCCAGAAAUAUAUUAGUCAGAAACAAUCUCAUUUAAUAACACAGAAACUAAUAAAAGAAAAGUAUUCCAACUGAUUCAGAAUUGAAUUUAUGAAUAUUGCUUUAGCAGGAUUAAUGAUCAAAACCCCAACCUGUUUGUCACGUUAUAACUGACUUUUCCAUUUAAAUGCAAAACCAGAAGUCAAUGAGUCCGAAGGAUUGUAUAUUGCUUUGAAGAAAACCAGUUCAUUUUACAUGUAAGCUUCCAAAUUGGCAAUAAACUUUAAUUACAGGGUCAGAUAAUCAAAUUAUAAUCAAAUAGCCUCACAUAAAAAUCUAUGUUUGAAAUUAAUGAGAUACAAGGCUGCCACUCGGUACCAAUACACCUCUGUAGCUUACUAGCAGACAUUUCAUUUUCAUUUAAAAGUCACCUUAAGGACUUUCUCCUCAAUUUUCACCGUGUAGCUUAAUUUGAUUUAGAAAACAUUUCAUUCUUAGACCAUACAGUCCUUUGGAUUUUCAGACUCAUCUCUGCCUUUCCCUCCUCCUCUCAACCUCGGGGGAGGUCUGUUUUAUAACUGACAAUGGAAUUUCCAAAUGGGCGCUGUUGGGAAAAUUUCCAGCUGCGGGGUGAGUACGUGUCUAUCUGUGUUGAGAAGAACCUUGCCCCCGUGUCAGGUGUCAUCUGGCGGAGGCAGCAUCCAAGCCAUGGGAUACCGUCACCUGGGAAAUUUUGCCCGAGAAGGGAAAACAUGCACUUGCCUUAGAAAUGCUUCAACUGUUUUGAAAUCAACCAAUCCAUUGGCAAGCGAAUGGCAUUAACACUUACACGUGCCUCCUUAUCUCAUUAACUUACAAACAAGAAUGUGGAGUUGUAUUUUAAAACCUCUGUAUUUUAUUUUUAAAAACCAGCAAUGUCUUUGUCUUCAUCAGUAAUAUUUCUUUUGGGUCAGAAUGAUGAAGAGCCAGCUUCUGGGGCUUCCUCUUACUGGCAGGUAGGAGACCAGAGAGAGAGAUGCCGAGGGACAGCUUUCUAUCACUGACAUGCUUUCGCUUUCUAAAAAUUAGACUUUUGAGUCUUUCCAUAUUAUGCAAUAAAUGAGGUGCACAGCACCUGACCAGGUUGCCAGCUUUAAAGAAAAAAAAUAUAUAUCAAUUUUUAGCAUAAGUAUAUCCCAAUUAUUGCUUGGGAUAUACUUCUAAAAAUAUUCAUUCAUGAAAUUCAAAUUUAACUGGACAUCUCGUGUUUUUGAGAAUGCUUGGGAUCCUAAUCUGUAAUAAUAAUGAUAGUAAAGUUUGGUAUCUUCUAUAACAUUAAAAGGGUUUCAUGGGGACUCCCUGAAUAUUUUGCAAACUUGCCUGAUUACCCAAUCACAUGGAUCAGCUGGGAGUUUUCUAAAACUACAGUUGCCCAGGGCCGUCCUAGCAAUGCCGAUUCACUAGGUCCAGGGUUUGGCCUGGGAGUCUGUAUUUUGACAAGUUUCCCAGGUAAUUCUUGGCAUCAGACAAGUUUGGAAGAACACUGCAAAUACCUCUUUGUCACGACAUCCCUGAGAAGGAGGUGGUGAUGGAGUAGGGCAGAUCUUUUCACCAUUGCUUGAUUUGGCUCCGCCCUCUAUGAACCCAACGACUCAAGGGAUAAUAAGGAAUAUGUUUCACUUGUAAAGAAGAUGGUCUACAAGUCCUCCCGAAGCUACUGACCCUGCAGAUUACACCUCAUGUGAUCCCGAUGGGUGCCAGGAUUUUUCUAAAGACCUGAUGAAUGUAGUUGCCUCUUACUCUGUUCUGAGGAAUCCAGAGGAACCCAACUCAACUGAAUGAGAUGUGCAGGAGAAGGCAAAGCAUCCAUGGGAACAAACAGGACAGGAUAUGGAAGAAGGAAAAGCAAAGUUGGGAUGAUAAUGAUCAUGGCAAGUGGUGGCAUUUGGGCAAUGAAGAUGAGUAAAUUAUUCUUUCUUCCUAAUCUGAGCCUGUGGUGAUGUUCUAUUGACUACAUAUGCACCAGACCUGAAACAUGGCCUGUGGCAUGUCUUCCAGAGACAUCCGAGUCUAAAUCACUCAGGAGGAAAAAACGAAUUACACUUCUGCUGGGAAAAAGUAUUGAACAGGACAAAAAUCUUACUGACCUUUAAGGAACUUUCAGCUUCCAUUUUGUCCUGAGUCAAAGGACUUUAUGUUCUCUGUAUAUGGAGGUUGUUCCAAGCUCUACAACCACUGGCGACCUGGGACUUUCUCCUUUCCUCUUUUUGACCUAUGUGGAAACGUUCCAGCCAACAAGAGGAAGUAUCAAAAGUUCUUAUGGGGCUUUUGGCAGGGAGAGCCCUGGAAUCUGCCAAGAAGGCUGGUUAUGUGGGCAGAAGCAGCGGUCCAGGGAGAAGACUUGACAGCACCGCGCCCGGUUCAUCUCUCUAUCCAGAAGCACCACAAUAGGAUGGAAAUAAAAUGGAACUGUUAGUCUUCUGGAGAUCUGGAAGAAAUCUGUUCUCUACCCAUGAUUGACUAAUAAUGUUUAAUCCAAAGGAAAGAAUCUCUAACAGUGGAAUUUCAUUUAUCUGUGGGAGGGGCUGUAUUGAGGGACAGGGCACGAGGGAACACUGUUAGCUACUCCACUGUGGAGUGUGUAGAGCCAGUCCUGGGAGGGAAUGGCUUGUUCAUUAUCUUCCCCAACUGUUUUGCACUGUAUGUGUCAAAUCCCAUAGUAAAUACUGAGAAUUAUUUUAAAGGAUCUCUCAGGAGUUUGGCAGCCUCUCUCCUCCAAUUCAACAGUUUCAAAAUCCCUGUUACUACCACCACCCUCAUCAGCUUGUGCUUAUUAAAGGUCCACUUGGACGCACAGCCCCACCUGUUUCCCACUGAGAUGGGUUCUUGACUUAAUUUUGGGGGUGAGUUCUCCUGCUUUGUUCAUUUGGAUUAGAAACCCCGUGACGUUCGACCUAGUUUACGUUUUUCCUUUUCUCUUUUGAAACAAUAAAAAUGUUCCGUGGGGAUUCUGGACUACAUUAAAGGGUCAUUUUCAAUUUUCAUGCGAGACAUAUGGAAAGACUCACCUCCACUUACAG
ensembl:lncRNA